UACGAAGGGGGCUAGCGUUGCUCGGAAUCACUGGGCGUAAAGCGCACGUAGGCGGAUUGUUAAGUCAGGGGGUGAAAUCCUGGAAGCUCCAACUCCAGAACUGCCUUUGAGUACUGGCGAUACUCGAGCUCCGGGAGAGGUGAGUGGGAACUGGACGAGUGUAGAGGUGAAAUUCGUAGAUAAUUCGCAAGAACACCAGUGGCGAAGGCGGCUCACUGGCCCGGUACUGACGCUGAGGUGCGAAAGCG
rnacentral:rRNA from 1 species